CAAUCCGCGGGGAGCUGUAUGAAGGGUGGGGAAACUUUGAAAAUUGGAUGCUGCAGACCCGUUUUCUAUUUUGCUGCAGCAGAAGGCAUGAGUAGCAGGAAACUAAGACGAGUCGGGUUAUCAGAAGAGCUGUGUGACCGUCUGAACAGAUACCAGAUUGUUACCUGUCAGGAUUUUUUAUGUCUUUCCCCACUGGAGCUUAUGAAGAUGACUGGCCUUAGUUAUCAUGGUGUCCAUGAACUUCUCUGUACGGUCAGUAGGGCCUGUGCCCCACAAAUGCAAACGGUUUAUGGGAUGAAGACACAAAGGUGUGCUGCUCCCUCACCAGCAUUCUUAGCUACAACCCUUUCUGCACUAGAUGAAGCCCUGCGUGGUGGUGUGGCUUGUGGAUCCCUGACAGAGAUUACAGGGCCACCAGGUUGUGGAAAAACUCAAUUUUGUAUGAUGAUGAGCAUUUUGGCUACAUUGCCCACCAACAUGGGAGGAUUAGAAGGCGCUGUUGUGUACAUUGACACAGAGUCAGCAUUUAGUGCUGAAAGACUGGUUGAGAUUGCAGAAUCUCGUUUUCCUAGAUACUUUAACAAUGAAGAAAAAUUACUUUUGACAAGCAGUAAAGUUCAUCUUUAUCGGGAGCUCAGCUGUGAUGAAGUUCUACAAAGGAUUGAAUCUUUGGAAGAAGAAAUUAUUUCAAAAGGAGUUAAACUUGUGAUUAUUGACUCCAUUGCUUCUGUAGUAAGAAAGGAGUUUGAUACACAACUUCAGGGGAACAUGAGAGAAAGAAACAAGUUCUUGGCAAGAGAAGCAGCUUCCUUGAAGUAUUUGGCAGAGGAAUUUUCAAUCCCAGUUAUCUUGACGAAUCAAAUUACAACCCAUCUGAGCGGAGCCCCAGCUUCUCAGGCAGACCUGGUGUCUCCAGCUGAUGAUUUGUCCCUGUCUGAAGGCACUUCUGGGUCCAGCUGUGUGACAGCUGCCCUAGGAAACACCUGGAGUCACAGUGUGAACACCCGGCUGAUUCUCCAGUUCCUUGGUUCAGAGAGAAGACAGCAAACAAAGGGAACCCACUUGAGAAUGGCAAUGAAGUCAACCCAGAGGGAAACAAAAUGAAGAGACUGAGAGAGACUGUUUCAUGGGGGAGAAAGGGAAGUUCUCAGGUCAUCAUUUGAGGCCCUGGAUCCAACUGUGCCUGAGAUUCUCAUUGCCAAGUCCCCUCUGGCUCCCUUCACCUCCUUUGUCUACACCAUCAAGAAGGAAGGCUUGGUUCUUCAAGGCCAACAGAGGCCAUAGGGACACUGUGACCUUUGUCUAGAGCUGAUGGGGGCAUGAUUUGUGAAAUGAAGCAGGAACAUGCUGUUUGGAAGAAGGAAAUGGAAGUGAACAUAAUGGGGAUUAAUUAGUUGAUCGCUGUUGAGAUGGUAACAGGUUUGCCCCCAUACCCCUGAGCCAGCCAUCUCAGGGAAGGUGAAGGUGAAGAAGCCUUUGUUUGGGCCUCUAGAUGCGUGGGGGUGAAGGCUUUGCUGCCCUGGGAUGUCAACAGCCAUAAUAAUAAUAAUUUGCACCCACAUAGCACCUUUCAACCAGGCACCUCAAAGUAGUUUAACCACUUUAAUUAAUUAAAGCCCACAGUCCCCCUGGGGAGAGGAGGAGGAGGACUAACAGGAUUUGUAAUUACAGGAGGGAACAUUUCCAAAUAAAGUAUUGUCCACCAAAUAAAAAGAGUAGGUGCAAAGGAAUUGGGGUCUCCAAAGACUAACUGCUUCAGAAAAGAAAUCACGGAAAGGUGGGGGAGGUUGGGCACCAGCAUGGGGGUCUGCUCUUGUGUCAGAGGGAGGCCGAUGGGCUCGGAAUUCACGGACAGAUUUGGAUCCAGCUGGGAAGCAGAACAUGUAUAGUGUUAGUGGCAUUAAGAAGGUCAUUAGUGGCAUAACUGUUGUGGUGUAAAUUCAGGUUUCACCAGUAUAUUGUGUAUAGCCCUGGAGAACAAAGAGUGAGAUGCAUGCAAUAUUUAAUAAGGGAUGAAAUGAUUUCCUUAGAUUGAAAGCCCAAAGCUGGGCCAGUCAAUUAGUGAAUAAAUCAAUUGAUGACCCAUGGGAUAAUUUAGUCAUUUCCAGCAGAACAGCAAGCCUACCCGCUCCUACCAUCAUGAGGUCUCCAGCCAAAUCUGGAGCUUCAAGGCUGGGGGCUUCAGAGCCCCUUCAAAGCCAAGCAUCAAAUCUUCCAGCCUUUGGCAUUGGGACCCCUCAUACCCAAGUUGUUAGUGACCCCCAAAUUGUCCUCUGUAGAACCACUUUGUGGUUCCCCCUUCGGAGGUUUUUUAAUGCCUUGGGGCCUAGAAUCAACUCUUCUCCCAUCACGUAUCUCUAUCAGUGCCCAAGAGAUGCUGUGCACGAAGUAGGUACAAAACAGUAAAUGACUAAGUCCUUUAAACAGCUCAGUGUUUGAUGAGCACAUACUGGGUACAGAGGCAAAACUCAAAAAACAGAAUGUGUGCCCAGUCCUCAAGAACUAUAUUACAAGGAAUGGAAAAAACUCAUACACUACUAGUGUAUAAAACAGUGACCUGAUAGAUGUGCAUCCAAGCUGCAUGCUGCAGGGGCCAGAGGAGGAACAUUUCAUUCAUCUGCAGUGACUCAGGGAAGGUAUUCCUGGGAGCAAACAAUGCGCUGGACAUUGGGAGGUGAAGAGGAUUCUGGUUGACCUGGAAGGGGAGGGAGAUGCAGACUUUCCAAACAGGUCCUUUGUCUCUCUCUGCUUGAGGUGCAUUUUGAGAACUUGUGAUCAUCAAUAUAGACCACUUGUUCAGAAAAAUAAGCUGAGUUUUUGCAGCUGAUUAAAUGUAUGUUUCCUAUGAACUCUUA